GGAGAUGUACCCAAGAGGCUGAAGGGACCGCACUCGAAAUGCGGCAGGCCGGGUAACCGGUGCGAGGGUUCAAAUCCCUCCAUCUCCG
rnacentral:tRNA from 1 species